rnacentral:rRNA from 1 species
AUGGAUGGAACUAGUUCCAAGAGGCAGAGGAAGGAACCAAGGCCAAAGAGGGUGACGGGACCAAGUGAUCCAUUUGCAGCGAUGCUUCAAGAUGUCAAUAGCCAGCUGAGCAAUGUGACACAAUAUGUGGGUACAAUGGCAGCAUCAUUGUCAGCAUCAAUGGCACGAGAAGCAGCGCAAGAGGAUCCUCAGCAGAAAUCAAAAGAGAAGGCUAUUAGUGAAUUGGCUAAGCUUAGCUUUACCGGGAGCGAUAUCUUUGAGGUUGCAGCCAUAUUUGCUAAAGCUCCAGAUCAGAUGAAGAUGAUGCCUGCGCUUCUAGAAAAUCUGAGGAGGGAAUGA